UGAGACCUCUUGAUGACCGCGGCCGACUAGCGACAUCGUCAGUCGGCUGAGGAACUUCCGGGCUCCAUAGAGCACGAUGGCGGAUAACGUCCGCCCAGGGCGACCUGAGAGCAAGCGCAACAGAGAACAGACCGCCCGGCUUCGGCCGGGUAAGGGUGAAACGGCGGUGCAAGAGACCACCGGGCAGCUGGUGACAGCGGUCGCAUGGCAAGCCUCAUCGGGAGCAAGGCCAAGCAGAGGGCACGCUACGUAUCGAUUACGUCGGCACGGGUUGCUCGCCCGGCCUUCGGGUAGGCUGCUGGAGCCUGGCGGCAACGCCAGGUCGAGAUGGAUGGUCAUCCGUGUGGGAGUUCCCAUACGACAGAACCCGGGGUAUAAGAGGUCUCACCAU
rnacentral:RNase_P_RNA from 2 species